CGCGGCGGCGAGUGUGGACCCGGGAGCGCGCGGCGGGGAGUGUGGACCCGGGAGCGCGGGUCGCGGGCUCUGUGCCGGCACAUUGUUGCAGUCGGGCGGACGUGUGCGUCUGCAGGCGGCUGCCAGUCAUUGACAUUCACCCGGCGUGGGAACCAUCAGAGAACAGCUUCUGCAUCUGAACCGGGGGUAACUGAUUCAGUUACUCAGGGCGCAGACUAUUCAACAGUAUAAUCUGAAGAAUUGAAUUGAUCUUGAAUUACAUUUGAACAUGGUGGAAAAUGACAAUGGUGUCUGGCUAACAUUGAUCAAAGCAGGCAUUACAGGGCAGAGACUGAAUUCCAAAAUAGUCAAGCUAUAUAUUUUCAGCACAUUAUUGACACUUCUGACAGUCUUCUUGGGACUAAUAGAGAUGUUACAUUUGAUCAAACAGCCUACCAAAGAGGAUGGUGACUUUGAAGCAAGCAAAAUGUUUGCCAACACGUCAAGAUUCACAAGAAACCAUUGUUCAAUUACAAAGAAAAAUCCAUGCAGAUUACAUGCCUCUUAAAGUUUCCAAACUGAAAAUCAAAAGUGUGAAUGGUUGUUUGGAUUUGUGUUUUUCAGCCAGAGAGAGCAUGUCAUAUUUUUAAAUGUUAUAUUUGACGUUGAUGUUUAUUGUUGAGCCUCUCACUAGUUAUUCAAAAUGCAGAGAUUAAAUUAGUGCUUUGUACUAAUAACCAAAGUCUUAUUUUUCUCAAGAAAAGAUGAUCAUUUUAUAGAUUGUUUACUAUAUUUGUGGCUAAUUUAAUGAUUUGUGUAAAUUUAGUCUACCAUGUUUAAUUUGUCACUGCAAAAAUGUUGUGUCUUUGUUGUACAUUUAUGCAGCUGAGAGUGUUGCUAUCUGCCAUAGACUUAAAAAUACAAACAUGUACAUUUUGUGCAACAUAUGCUCAAUAAUGUGAUUAUAGCACACACAUUUGACAGACUUAAUUUGUAAUUUUGUACAUAAUACUGAUGUUUAAUUUUCAUUUUGAUUAUUGUUUAUUCCUGCUGUUCAAAGAAUCUAGUCCUGUGCUAUGAUUGAACAACAUUAAAAGAUGCUUUUUAAAAUGU